rnacentral:siRNA from 1 species
GAGCGUGGAUCAAAAGGACUUGU